UGGGGGAUAUUGCACAAUGGGCGAAAGCCUGAUGCAGCGACGCCGCGUGGGGGAUGAAGGCUUUCGGGUUGUAAACCUCUUUCGCUAUCGAACAAGGCCCGCUUAGGGUGGGUUGAGGGUAGGUGGAGAAGAAGCGCCGGCUAACUACGUGCCAGCAGCCGCGGUAAUACGUAGGGCGCGAGCGUUGUCCGGAAUUAUUGGGCGUAAAGGGCUUGUAGGCGGCUUGUUGCGCCUGCUGUGAAAACGCGGGGCUUAACUUCGCGCGUGCAGUGGGUACGGGCAGGCUUGAGUGUGGUAGGGGUGACUGGAAUGCCAGGUGUAGCGGUGAAUGCGCAGAUAUCUGGAGGAACACCGAUGGCGAAGGCAGGUCACUGGGCCAUUACUGACGCUGAGGAGCGAAAGCAUGGGUAGCGAACAGG
rnacentral:rRNA from 1 species